rnacentral:misc_RNA from 1 species
AAGACUAUAGACCUGCGGAGUACCUGCGGAGGGAUCAUUACAUGGCGGAGGAGGUGGGCACCUAGUAACCCUGGGUGUGUUGCCUUCACGCUUUCUACCCUUGUCUAUUUGCACCUUUUGUCGUUCCCUCGGUGGGUCUUGAACCUGCCGACGGCAACUUUCCAAAACCCUCUUGCAGUAGUAUCGAAUUCUUCUGAUGUAAAUAUCAAAUUUAUUACAACUUUUAACAAUGGAUCUCUA